CCUACGGGAGGCAGCAGUGGGGAAUAUUGCACAAUGGGGGAAACCCUGAUGCAGCGACGCCGCGUGAGGGAAGAAGUAAUUCGUUACGUAAAGCCCUAUCAGCAGGGAAGAAAAUGACGGUACCUGAGUAAGAAGCCCCGGCUAACUACGUGCCAGCAGCCGCGGUAAUUCGUAGGGGGCAAGCGUUAUCCGGAUUUACUGGGUGUAAAGGGAGCGUAGACGGUGCGCCAAGGCUGGAGUGAAAUGCCGCAGCUUAACGGCGGAACUGCUUUGGAAACUGGCGAACUAGAGUGCGGGAGGGGUAAGCGGAAUUCCUAGUGUAGCGGUGAAAUGCGUAGAUAUUAGGAGGAACACCGGUGGCGAAGGCGGCUUACUGGACCGUAACUGACGUUGAGGCUCGAAAGCGUGGGGAGCGAACAGGAUUAGAUACCCCUGUAGUC
rnacentral:rRNA from 1 species